AACCGCCCGGUGCGGACCCGCAUGCCGGGUGGUGUGGCAGGGGCGCGGUCACAACGGCCGCCCCC
rnacentral:sRNA from 1 species